UAUUUGGCCAUCUGCUAACGUCUUCUAUCCACUCCACUAUAGUACACGGAUCUGGUAGAUGUGUUGAAAAAGUUGAUAAGUCAACUUUUUAAAAUAACUUUCUCUGUCUGUGUUACUUCACUGCUGAUUCUUGCCAUACUUCCGUUGCCAAACUGCUCGUGCAUACGUUGCCACGUCACUAUUGUGUACAAACAGUAAAAGGGUCUAUUGGGUCUUUAAACUUGUGGCUGUAAGCGCACUUGAAAAGUUUGAGAGCAAAAAGCCUACAUACUGUUUAGCAGUUUCACAAUCUAAUUUUAUCAUUUCAUAGUGACAACCGUUAAUUGGCAGCAGGAAGAUGAAUAUGAAGGGCUGGGCUCUCCUGAACAUAAGCUGUUUAGCAUGCAGAUCAAGAACACACUGAGACAGGCACACACACACAAUACACAGCGCACACACAGCACAGUCCUACAUAAAAUGGGGAAUGACAAAAAUGACAGAAAAAGUUUUAGAACCACUGCUGUGGGGUCACUUAUUUAGCUCUGUUAGUUGGACCUGGGUGAUGCUGUUCUUUGUGUAACGGGACUUUUUCUGUAUUUCCUAGUGCCACAAGAUGAUUGGCAGCAAGACACACCCAGUGAUGAAGGGAUGUGCUCUCCUUAAAUCACAGCCUAUUCAUCAGGUACUCCUGAGUGCUGUGUUAAGAAAUCCUGCCUACAAAGUUCCACUGAGGCUGAUAUAAAGAUGACUGUGAGAAACUGGCUGCGGCUGUCUGAGCAGAGACAGGAAUGGGGGCGGCAAAGGCGGGACAAGCAAGCAUCUUAAGUGAAAUAAUUGAUUGGACUGAUUCUGGAGUAUGACUUAUUCUGGAGGGAAUUUCUUAUUUUUGUUGCAGUUUGCUAUGGGACGGUUUCAAGGACAGGGAUUAGACUAGUUCUAGACUAAAAUAAAUGUAAGAGCUGUCCAAACUGAAAACAACUUACACUGACAUAUCAUAAAAUACAUCAGUGUCUUUUGUGAUGCUUCAAAAUGCACACAAGUAAUGUUUUUAUUAAGACAUGUUAUUAAAACUAGUUAUAUUUCAGAAUUAAACUAAGGCCUAGUCCCGGUUUAAGAUAAUCCCUGUCCGGGAAACCACCCCAAAGUGUAAUUUGUGGAGUGUUAAAAUAAAUGAAACUGCCUUUGCAAAAACAAAGUAAAAAAAAAAUUCCAGAUG